GAUGAACGCUGGCGGCGUGCCUAACACAUGCAAGUCGAACGAGCACUUCGGUGCGAGUGGCGGACGGGUGAGUAACGCGUGGGUAACCUGCCUUACACAGGGGGACAACAGUUGGAAACGACUGCUAAUACCGCAUAAGCCCACGGUACCGCAUGGUACUGUGAGAAAAGAUUUAUCGGUGUAAGAUGGACCCGCGUCUGAUUAGAUAGUUGGUGGGGUAACGGCCUACCAAGUCGACGAUCAGUAGCCGACCUGAGAGGGUGAUCGGCCACAUUGGGACUGAGACACGGCCCAAACUCC
rnacentral:rRNA from 1 species